UUCUGGCCAGAGUACAGUGGUGUUUACAAUUGUUAAUAAUUGAUCACAACCAGUUACAGAUUUCUUUGUUUCUUCUGCACUCCUACUGCUUUACUUAACUAGAGUUAA
ensembl:misc_RNA Y_RNA Y RNA